GAAGUUCAGAUCUUUGCUAACGACACAAAAAUUACCAACAAAAACAACUUUGAGAAGUUACCAAGUAAAAAAGAUUUUGAUAUCUGGAAAGAAGAAAGCAAGAAAAAUUCUUACAGAGUAAUUCAUGCAAUGAGGUGUAAAAGAGACUGUCUUAAUCGAGCUGAUGGGGACUACCAGUCUUGUUACACGUGUGAGGGAUUUAUUACAUGUUCAAACGGUAAACUGGAAAAUCGGGACUGUGCUCAAUCCUAUACAAACAGGACACUAUACUGGGAUGAUUUUAUAAGACGAUGUCUUUUCAGUUCGCUCACCUGUGAUCCAUUGUAUAUACAUGUAUUACCUGACGAAGAAAAUAAUUCAA